CCUACGGGUGGCAGCAGUGGGGAAUAUUGGGCAAUGGAGGAAACUCUGACCCAGCAACGCCGCGUGAAUGAUGAAGGUCUUCGGAUUGUAAAGUUCUUUUCUAAGGGAAGAAGAAAGUGACGGUACCUUAGGAAUAAGCCUCGGCUAACUACGGGCCAGCAGCCGCGGUAAUACGUAGGAGGGAAGCGUUAUCCGGAAUGACUGGGCGUAAAGGGUGCGUAGGUGGGGUGAUAAGUUAGUAGCGUAACUCCGAGGCUCAACCUCGGGACUGUUCCCGAAACUGGCGGACUUGAGUGCAGGAGGGGCAACUGGAAUUCCUAGUGUAGCGGUGGAAUGCGUAGAUAUUAGGAGGAACACCAGUGGCGAAGGCGAGUUGCUGGACUGUAACUGACACUGAGGCACGAAAGCGUGGGGAGCAAACAGGAUUAGAUACCCUUGUAGUC
rnacentral:rRNA from 1 species